rnacentral:rRNA from 1 species
AAGGCAGUUAGAUUAAUUUAUUAAAUUAGUUUAUUUAUAGCUGAAUAAUAGAUAGGUAAAAUUAAACUAUCAGCUUAAAAAAUUUAUAUUAACUAAAUUAUUGAAUCUGCGAAAUCCUUGAGGGAAACUGGGAUUAGAUACCCCAUUAUUCUUGGAAGUAAAAAGAAAAUCUACCAGAGUACUAUGAAUAAAAAUUUAAAACUCAAAGAGCUUGGCGGUGCUUUAGACUUUUCAGGGGAACCUGUCUUAUAAUCGACAAUCCACGCUACACCUAACCUUUUCUUGCAUACAGUUUGUAUACCGUCGUCGUCAGGUAACUUCUAAAAAUUUCAACAGUUAGCAAAAAAGUUUACAUUAAUAAGCUUAAACGUCAGAUCAAGGUGCAAUUAAUGAAAGGGACAAGAUGGGUUACAAUUAUAAAAUAAUAAUACGAAAAAUUAGUUGAAAUACUAUUUUAAAGGAGGACUUGAAAGUAAGCUAUUGUCUUUAUAUAUACUAAUUGAAUAAAGCUCUGAAGCGUGUACUAACCGCCCGUCGCUCUCGUUGAAAAAUGAGAUAAGUCGUAACAUAGCAGGGGUAAUGGAAAUUGCCCCUAGAUU